GGGGGCGUGCUUAGCAAAUAAAUUAUUUAUCGCUUGCUUACAUUAUAUCACAGUACAUGAUGAGACAGUCACUUUUAAGGUUUUCUGAAAGAUCAUACAUCAUUGCUGAAAGGGGAAAUCUCCGGAAAGAUACUUUAAAUGAAAUACAAACAAAAAAUAUCAUAGCUUUGUUUAUCGAAUACAACAUGUAACAUGGUUGUCCUUAAAAUACGAUCGAUAAGCUGGUUUAAGUAUGCAGUGUGUCCAUAAAUGCUUUGCAUUGUUUAUCUAUGGCAGAAAGUGGGUGGGUAGAAGGCGGGAUGUGAUUGUGUACAGCUGUGUGCAAGCAGAGUUUUAAAGAUUGAAUGUUGGUUUGCGAGAAUUUUUUUUUUGCUGAGCUUAAGCAUCGGAUUAGAUUAGUGCCAAUAGGAUCAAGAAAAACACUUUGAAGAUCAAACAAAUAUUACGACAUUGAGAGAAACAAAAACUGUUUCAAAAGAAAAACUUAUGAUCUGAAUCAACUUCUUAAAAUGAGUAACAAAGUAUGUUUCCUUUUUCUGUUUGCCUCUAUGUGUUUUUGUUAUCAGUUUCCUUAGUUUCAUUCUCGCUUCUCACAGCUUUGCUCUCACUACCAGAUUUGCACUUACACUGUCUGGCUUUCUCCUUUGCAAUCCCUGAGUUUUUAGUUGCAAUUCUGACACAACCCUUUCGGGUGGGUGGGACUUCUGAGAAGUCCUCUCCCAUAGGACAGUGGUUUCUCUUGAGUGACAGUUCAGUGACCCGGAAGUGAUGUAGCCUCCAAGACAUUUUUUUCCACCUGGUCAACAACAUGAAUGUUGAGCCCCAAGCACGUUAUUUCUGCUGUCUGUGGUGUCUACUGAGGAUCUAAAGAACCUGUGGAACAUCAGAGACUUUGCAGCUACUGGAGCUAACCUGUGUACGGCUAACUUGCUACAGAGGAAGCAGCAGAAAGCUGAGCUAACAGGCUGUUUUGCAGGUAAAUACUCUUUUAGUGGAACUGCAGGAUUUUUAUGGUAUAACUCAGACAGAAUCUACAUGAGCUAUUGUGGGAAGACAUUUAAACUACAUUUGCAUACAGAUAAAUUUAUUUUUUAUUCCAUGUUACUUGGACGGGCUAAACAAGUUCGUAGUUCUGCCUGCUCCUUUUUCAGUGAAACGAAUGGAUUAUAUGAUAUAACUCUGACUGAAUAAUUAUCUAAGUGAGUAUGUUUGAUAAUAAAUUUCUCUCCAGUAUACAGAUCUGACAAAACGCAUGACCAUAGGUGAGGUUUGGGACAUAGAUCGACCAGUAAAUUGAGAGCCUUGCUUUCUGACUCAGCUCCCUCUUCACCACGACAGAUCUAACACUUUGUUUGAUUAGCUUUAUUAAAAAUAGAGAAAGAGUUCUUUGAUUUAUUAAAAGAAAGAGUCCUUUGUCUUCAUUCUUCUCUUGAGCUGGAAAGGAAGAAACAGUUUAGAAGCAGAGCAUGAGACCUUGAGCAGAUUAGUUCUGUGUCAGAAACUUUUGGUUUUGCUUAAGCAGAGAAAAACAGAGUAGGGCCUUUUAGGUCAGAAAUGAACAAUUCAUCACGCUACACAGGUGUUCCCGGCAAACCCAAACAUAUACCAUGCACGCCUGGAAAGCAACAACAACUUGCUCAAGCUUCAUUGAUUCACUCACGCGGCAGUUGCCAUGUCCUUAGGUGAUUUCUGCAGGUUUUGUGAGAACAAUAUGAGUAUUAGAGCCCUGCACGGGCCUAAAAUCUGAGCCCGUGUCCGGCCCGGCCCGAGGGAGUGGAGCCCCAGCCCGACCCGGCCCGAAAAGGUUUUCAGGAUUCUCUGGCCCGGCCCGAGCCCAAGCCUGACUUUUUUUUUUAACCAACUAAAUGAAAACAAAGUACGUCAAUCCUGACCAAUGUGUUAAAAGACGUGCAGGAUCCGAGCGUCGCAGAAGCGCAUGCGGGAAGCUUCCUCCCACUGAAGCGAGUGUUUUCCAAACCCUGUCGCUCAGAGAGACUUGUCACU